GGCAGAUUUAGGGAUCUAGGGUUUCACCGAGAUCUAAGCCCUAAAUCUGCCGAGAUCUAAGCCCUUCCCCCUCUGUAAAUCGAGAUCUAAGCCCUAAAUCCGCCGAGAACUAUCGCGCCACCGCCUCCGCCUCUCGCCUCUUCGCCUCCGCCCUCUGGACGCCACCGUUCGAGCCGCCUCCGCCCGCACCGCCUCUGCAACCCUCUAUUCCACUUCGUGCUAUCUCCGCCCGCCACCGCCUCGCCGGAAAUUAAGCAUCUCCUCUGUUUCUCUCAAAAUUGAAAGACUUCUAUUU
rnacentral:lncRNA from 1 species